rnacentral:rRNA from 1 species
GACGAACGCUGGCGGCGUGCCUAAUACAUGCAAGUAGAACGCUGAAGGAGGAGCUUGCUUCUCUGGAUGAGUUGCGAACGGGUGAGUAACGCGUAGGUAACCUGCAUGGUAGCGGGGGAUAACUCUUGGAAACGAUAGCUAAUACCGCAUAAUAGUAGAUGUUGCAUGACAUUUGCUUAAAAGGUGCAAUUGUAUCACUACCAGAUGGACCUGCGUUGUAUUAGCUAGUUGGUGGGGUAACGGCUCACCAAGGAGACGAUACAUAGCCGACCUGAGAGGGGGAACGGCCACCCUUGGACUGAGACACGGCCCAGACUCCUACGGGAGGCAGCAGUAGGGAAUCUUCGGCAAUGGACGGAAGUCUGGACGAGCAACGCCGCGUGAGUGAAUAAGGUUUUCGGAUCGUAAAGCUCUGUUGUAAGAGAAGAACGAGUGUGAGAGUGGAAAGUUCACACUGUGACGGUAUCUUACCAGAAAGGGACGGCUAACUACGUG